GAAGGGAUAACUCAGUGGUAGAGUGUGUGCUUAAUACGCACGAGGUCCUGGGUUCAAUUCCCAGUACCGCCA